rnacentral:rRNA from 1 species
GGAGCUUGCUCCUUGGGUGGCGAGUGGCGGACGGGUGAGGAAUACAUCGGAAUCUGCCUAUUUGUGGGGGAUAACGUAGGGAAACUUACGCUAAUACCGCAUACGACCUACGGGUGAAAGCGGAGGACCUUCGGGCUUCGCGCAGAUAGAUGAGCCGAUGUCGGAUUAGCUAGUUGGCGGGGUAAAGGCCCACCAAGGCGACGAUCCGUAGCUGGUCUGAGAGGAUGAUCAGCCACACUGGAACUGAGACACGGUCCAGACUCCUACGGGAGGCAGCAGUGGGGAAUAUUGGACAAUGGGCGCAAGCCUGAUCCAGCCAUGCCGCGUGGGUGAAGAAGGCCUUCGGGUUGUAAAGCCCUUUUGUUGGGAAAGAAAAGCAGUCGGUUAAUACCCGAUUGUUCUGACGGUACCCAAAGAAUAAGCACCGGCUAACUUCGUGCCAGCAGCCGCGGUAAUACGAAGGGUGCAAGCGUUACUCGGAAUUACUGGGCGUAAAGCGUGCGUAGGUGGUUUGUUAAGUCUGAUGUGAAAGCCCUGGGCUCAACCUGGGAAUUGCAUUGGAUACUGGCAGGCUAGAGUGCGGUAGAGGGUAGUGGAAUUCCCGGUGUAGCAGUGAAAUGCGUAGAGAUCGGGAGGAACAUCCGUGGCGAAGGCGAC